GGUGGAGGCGGAAGUGACUGAUCAAUUCAGGGGCGUGGGGUUCGUUUAGGUUUUGCCCUGUGUAUGACCUCGUUUGGAGCCAUGAAACCAGCCUCAAGCUUUAUUCUAGGAAGGUGGCUUUUCUACAAUAUAAAGAUGGAAAUGGGAUGAUGUUCAUUGCAAAUUAGGGAAGCUCUUCCACGAGUUCACGAAUGGAAAUAACAUCAAGAGUUUUUCAUCUUCUUAGUGUGCAAGAUAAAUAUCAAGCAGUGCAAUUCCUGGAUUUAUGAUGUCUGAGGAAUAGUCUUAGUGGAUUAUCCCAAACUUGACACAUUUUUUGCAAAAUGCUAUACAAAAAGAAGAUACAUGCGAUUAUGACAAGAUUCUCCACUUGGUGUGACCAGUCUCAUACAACCCAAGGCUGUGUGUCCAAAGGCAACUGCACUGAUCUUGACAAUAAUCAAAAGGUAGCCAGGUGCAUCGG
rnacentral:lncRNA from 1 species